rnacentral:tRNA from 1 species
CGGAGUGUGGCUCAGCUUGGUAGAGCACUGCUUUCGGGAAGCAGGGGGCGGGGGUUCAAAUCCCCCCACUCCGACCA